UACGGGAGGCAGCAGUGGGGAAUAUUGCACAAUGGGCGAAAGCCUGAUGCAGCUAUGCCGCGUGUAUGAAGAAGGCCUUAGGGUUGUAAAGUACUUUCAUCGGGGAGGAAAAAACAAAACUAAUAAUUUUAUUUCUUGACGUUACCCGAAAAAGAAGCACCGGCUAACUCCGUGCCAGCAGCCGCGGUAAUACGGAGGGUGCUAGCGUUAAUCGGAAUUACUGGGCGUAAAGGGCACGCAGGCGGUUAAUUAAGUUGGAUGUGAAAUCCCCGGGCUUAACCUGGGAAUGGCAUUCAAGACUGGUUAGCUAGAGUCUUGUAGAGGGGGGUUAGAAUUCCAUGUGUAGCGGUGAAAUGCGUAGAGAUGUGGAGGAAUACCGGUGGCGAAGGCGGCCCCUGGACAAAGACUGACGCUCAUGUGCGAAAGCGUGGGGAGCAAACAGGGAUUAGAUACC
rnacentral:rRNA from 1 species